AUCAAAUGCAUCAUUGAGUGCAGCGUUGAUGAACAACGGUAACCGGUCCAUGUUGAGGCACAUUUUGGUCGGUGAUCCGAUGAUCAAUUGAUCAUCAGCGCUUCACUCAAUCAUGCGUUUG
rfam:Oryza nivara chromosome 6, whole genome shotgun sequence.